rnacentral:rRNA from 1 species
GAUGAACGCUGGCGGCGCGCCUAACACAUGCAAGUCGAACGAUUAAAGCACCUUCGGGUGUGUAUAAAGUGGCGAACGGCUGAGUAACACGUGGGCAACCUGCCCCUCUCAUUGGGAUAGCGACGGGAAACCGUGGAUAAUACCGAAUACUUCGGGACUUCCGCAUGGAAGACUCGAGAAAGCUCCGGCGGUGAGGGAUGGGACGGCGGCCUGUUAGCUUGUUGGUGGGGCAUUGGCCUACCAAGGCAAGGAGGGGUAGCGGGGAUGGGAGCCCGGCCAGCCAGCAUGGGACUGAGACAGGGACCAGACUCCUACGGGAGGCAGCAGUGGGGAAUCUUGCACAAUGGGCGAGCGCCUGAUGAAGAGGCGCCGCGUGCGGGAUGAAGGCCUUCGGGUUGUAAAACGCUUUCAGCAGGGACGAGGCGAAAGUGACGGUACCUAAAGAAGAAGCCCCGGCUAACUACGUG